GGAAAAGAAACUAAGUGCAGAGCACUGAUUUUGACAUAAUGUAUUAUCUAACAAUUGUGCUUCAUUUUCACCAGUUUUACCUUUGAUUCAUACAAGUUGAGAUAAUACAGUCACAUCACAUACAUAAUAAACACAAACAUUUCAUUAAUUCUACUUUAUAUAACCAAAAUAAUAUAAAAUAUUAAUUAUACAUCAACCCUUAAUUCUAGAUACUAAAACUUAUCUCAAUCUGAAACUAAUCUCUAAAUAAUAAACCUUAAACCCUAAUCACUAAACCCUAAAUCCAAAUAUAAACCAUAAACUCAAAUAUAAAUCUAAAUCUAACUCCAAAUUUUAAAUACUAAACCCUAAAUGGAUC
rnacentral:lncRNA from 1 species